GAAUCAAACAAAAAUAUCACAAUGGUGUAAUGUUCAAAGUAAGUACCUGGAGAAAAGCCAAUUGACUGAUCAAAAGAUUGCUCAUAAGGAUUGCGUUUCCGUCGCUGGCUGUAGGUGUGUGGAGGGUGGGGACUACGAGAAGCGGUCUGAAUCAUACAGCAGGAUGAAUGACUUUUGACCCAAACGUCGAUUUUACUGCUCCUCGGAUACUACUUAAACUGCUGUGCUUUUCCAGCACCUGCAGUCAUUGUUUUUACCUGAAUCAUAGAGCGGUCAGCAGAAACAUUCGUUGUGCAUUUACGGGAGAGCAGCACCGCUUCACAAGAGGAAUAUAAUUGUGAAAGCUUAAAGUUUCCAGUGUCGCUGGGAGAAAGGUUUUCUUGAAUAUUAACAAUGGAAAAAGUUUCGGAGAGGCUGCUCUUCGCUCUCAUGGCGGUCUGGGUGGCUCGCGUGACCGGUAAGCAGCGCCCCGGAUCCUCUUUCACGCUCCUGGCCUGUGCUGAGAAUUAGCGGGAGGGCGCAUCUACAGCACCGGCUCAGGGUCUUCUUGCUCGGGAUUGGUUCGGAGAGACCAGGUGAGUGUGGAAAACCUCCGAUUUUAGAAAAUGGCUCACCAGAAAAUCCUCAGACUACCUCUCCUGUGGGUACAAGACUUGCUUAUACGUGUUUCCCAGGAUAUAUGUUUCAAGAAGGAGGUUCAAGACAUAUAACCUGCAGGGAAAAUUCAACUUGGUCACCUCUAAGAGCUGUUUGUGAACCAAUAAACUGUGGUAAUCCUGGAGAAAUUCUGAAUGGGUAUUAUAAUGUAUCAGACACUACUUUUGGAAAUAAAGUUAUUUUUUAUUGUGAUA